AUUGAACGCUGGCGGCAUGCCUUACACAUGCAAGUCGAACGGCAGCACGGGAGCAAUCCUGGUGGCGAGUGGCGAACGGGUGAGUAAUAUAUCGGAACGUGCCCAGUCGUGGGGAUAACGUAGCGAAAGCUACGCUAAUACCGCAUACGAUCUAUGGAUGAAAGCGGGGGAUCGCAAGACCUCGCGCGAUUGGAGCGGCUGAUAUCAGAUUAGGUUGUUGGUGAGGUAAAAGCUCACCAAGCCGACGAUCUGUAGCUGGUUUGAGAGAACGACCAGCCACACUGGGACUGAGACACGGCCCAGACUCCUACGGGAGGCAGCAGUGGGGAAUUUUGGACAAUGGGCGCAAGCCUGAUCCAGCCAUGCCGCGUGCAGGAUGAAGGCCUUCGGGUUGUAACGU
rnacentral:rRNA from 1 species